GAUGAAGAACGUAGCGAAAUGCGAUAAGUAAUGCGAAUUGCAGAAUUUCCGUGAGUCAUCGAAUCUUUGAACGCACAUUGCGCCCUUUGGUAUUCCAAAGGGCAUGCCUGUUCGAGCGUCAUUUGUACCCUCAAGCUUUGCUUGGUGUUGGGCGUCUUGUCUCUAGCUUUGCUGGAGACUCGCCUUAAAGUAAUUGGCAGCCGGCCUACUGGUUUCGGAGCGCAGCACAAGUCGCACUCUCUAUCAGCAAAGGUCUAGCAUCCAUUAAGCCUUUUUUUCAACUUUUGACCUCGGAUCAGGUAGGGAUACCCGCUGAACUUAAGCAUAUCAAUAAGCGGAGGA
rnacentral:misc_RNA from 1 species